AAUCAACGCUGGCGGCGUGCCUCAGACAUGCAAGUCGAACGAUUAAAGCUCUCUUCGGAGAGUGCAUAGAGUGGCGCACGGGUGAGUAACACGUAAGUAAUCUACCUUCGAGUGGGGAAUAACGUCCGGAAACGGACGCUAAUACCGCAUAAUGCAGCGGCAUCGCAAGAUGACAGUUGUUAAAGGAGCAAUUCGCUUGAAGAGGAGCUUGCGGCAGAUUAGCUAGUUGGUAAGGUAAUGGCUUACCAAGGCUACGAUCUGUAACCGGUCUAAGAGGACGGUCGGUCACACUGACACUGAAUAACGGGUCAGACUCCUACGGGAGGCAGCAGUCGGGAAUUUUGGGCAAUGGGCGAAAGCCUGACCCAGCAACGCCGCGUGAAGGAUGAAGUAUUUCGGUAUGUAAACUUCGAAAGAAUGGGAAGAAUAAAUGACGGUACCAUUUAUAAGGUCCGGCUAACUACGUGCCAGCCGCCGCUG
rnacentral:rRNA from 1 species